GAUCAAGAAGCCAACUAAUUGCACUUAAUUUCGACUUAAGCCUAGAUACUAUGUAUCCUUGCUCU
rnacentral:tRNA from 1 species